rnacentral:rRNA from 2 species
AGAGUUUGAUCCUGGCUCAGGACGAACGCUGGCGGCGUGCCUAAUACAUGCAAGUCGAACGAAACUUUCUUACACCGAAUGCUUGCAUUCACCGUAAGAAGUUGAGUGGCGGACGGGUGAGUAACACGUGGGUAACCUGCCUAAAAGAAGGGGAUAACACUUGGAAACAGGUGCUAAUACCGUAUAUCUCUAAGGAUCGCAUGAUCCUUAGAUGAAAGAUGGUUCUGCUAUCGCUUUUAGAUGGACCCGCGGCGUAUUAACUAGUUGGUGGGGUAACGGCCUACCAAGGUGAUGAUACGUAGCCGAACUGAGAGGUUGAUCGGCCACAUUGGGACUGAGACACGGCCCAAACUCCUACGGGAGGCAGCAGUAGGGAAUCUUCCACAAUGGACGCAAGUCUGAUGGAGCAACGCCGCGUGAGUGAAGAAGGUCUUCGGAU